UAUCUCUUAGACUAGAUAUUAUACAAUUAGAGUUGUAAUCCUAUUGGGGUAAGGAAUUUACCUUCCCUACUACAAUAAAUAAAGGCACAAUGGGUGAGAUAACACACACCUCACAUUUACAUAUCUCUCUCUUUCUCUCUACUACUGCCGCACCCCCUCUCUCUGUCAUUUAUAAUGAUUUAGUAAAUUAGGCCUACAAUACGUUAUCAGCAUGCUCUUGAAGCUGGACUAAAAAGAGUUUGAUUUUCAAUCAAGGGAGUAUUACGUUUUUAUGUUUAACUUAUUAUUUUAUUGAAUUAAUCUACAUGAUAUUGAUUCAAUUUAAUUUUUCGCUGUUAAACCUGAUAUAACGCAUUGGAGAUGCAAUUCCGGCUUUCUGAGAAGGCUUUUCUACAAAUUCAAUGCCUCAAUUGUUUUCUACCAAUCAGGUACACUUCAAAUAAAGGAAGAUAUUUGAAACGACCAAGAAGCAUGAAAACAUUCCCUGAUGAUGCAUGAACCCCCUACAUUUAUUUUUUCCUUCUGAUAUAUAUAUUGUAUAAGUCCAUAUAUUUGUCAAUAUGUAUAUGUUCAUGCAUUUAUGCAAUUUUGCUAUGUGGAAUUUGUGAGUCAAAGAAUCAAAAGAAAUUAGAAGCAAUUAGGGUUUUUCAAACCCUAGAUUUCGAAAAAAAAGAAGGAGAAAGUAUGGGAAAAUCACAGCUCGAAGCCGCAUUGAGCCAAAUAUGGACGAUGUCGUUUCGAGGUCGGGACCAAAACUGUAGUAGCCCUUGCAUAUCACCAGGCCCGCAUGCCUAGGUUCUUCAUGAUUAG
rnacentral:lncRNA from 1 species